rnacentral:rRNA from 1 species
AGAGUUUGAUUCUGGCUCAGAACGAACGCUGGCAGCGUGGAUUAGGCAUGCAAGUCGAACGUGAAGCCGAUGAUCAAUCUUUCGGGAAAGUGAUUCGGUGGAAAGUGGCGGAAGGGUGAGUAACGCGUGGGUAAGCUACCUCGAAGUUGGGGACAACCAGAUGAAAAUCUAGCUAAUACCGAAUGUGGUCCUCUGGCACAUGCCAGGGUGACUAAAGGUGGGGAUCCUUUAUUGGACCUGCCGCUUUGAGAUGCGCCCGCGUGCCAUCAGCUUGUUGGUAGGGUAACGGCCUACCAAGGCUUACGGCUAGCCGGCCUGAGAGGGUGACCGGCCACACUGGGACUGAGACACUGCCCAGACUCCUACGGGAGGCUGCAGUCGAGGAUCAUUCGCAAUGCGCGAAAGCGUGACGAUGCGACGCUGCGUGGGGGAUGAAGGCCUUCGGGUCGUAAACUCCUGUCAUGAGGGAAAAGUAUCCCCGCAAUGAAUAGUUGUGGGGCUCGAUGGUACCUCAAGAGGAAGCCACGGCUAACUCUGUGCCAGCAGCCGCGGUAAUACAGAGGUGGCGAGCGUUGUUCGGAUUUACUGGGCGUAAAGGGUGCGUAGGUGGUUUUGUGUGUCGGAUGUGAAAGCCCAUGGCUCAACCGUGGAAUUGCAUUCGAAACUGCAGAACUAGAGUGCAGGAUGGGAGAGCGGAAUUCUUGGUUAGCGGUGAAAUGCGUUGAUAUCAAGAAGAACACCGGUGGCGAAGGCGGCUCUCUGGAAUGCUACUGACACUGAGGCACGAAAGCUGGGGGAGCAAACAGGAUUAGAUACCCUGGUAGUCCCAGCCGUAAACGGUGCACACUUGGUGUGGGGAGAUUUAACCCUCUCCGUGCCGGAGCUAACGCGUUAAGUGUGCCGCCUGGGGAGUACGGCCGCAAGGCUAAAACUCAAAGAAAUUGACGGGGGCCCGCACAAGCGGAGGAGCAUGUGGCUUAAUUCGAUGCAACGCGAAGAACCUUACCAGGGCUUGACAUAUACCUGCAAACCCCGUGAAAGCGGGGAAUCCUUCGAGGGUGGUAUACAGGUGCUGCAUGGCUGUCGUCAGUUCGUGCCGUGAGGUGUUGGGUUAAGUCCCGUAACGAACGCAACCCUUGUGACUAGUUGCCACCGGCGGUGAUGAGCCGCCGAGCACUCUAGUCAGACUGCCCGUACAAGCGGGAGGAAGGUGGGGAUGACGUCAAGUCAGUAUGGCCCUUACGCCCUGGGCUGCACACGUGCUACAAUGGUCGGUACAAUGGGAUGCAAUAUCGUGAGGUGGAGCAAAUCCAGAAAGCCGGCCUCAGUUCGGAUUGAAGUCUGCAACUCGACUUCAUGAAGU